CGGCGGCCCCGAGGUGACGGCGCCGCGCCCCGCCGCUGUGCGGGCCUGGGAACGGGCAAGAGGGGUCACACGGAAAGAGGGGGGGAAAAGGCGGUAAAACACAGAGCGGCGUGCUCAGCGCGCGCCGGCGGCGGCGUCACGGGACACGCGUGGGCGGUCCCUUGCCCGCCCCCUUAUAAUACCCUUCGUUUCUGACUUUUUUUUUUUUUUUUCCCUUGGCCUUAAAUCCUCAGCUGCUGAGUCAAAGCACGGCGUUUUUAAAGACGGACUCCUUGGAAGUUUUUCCCAACUUAAGAGGGAACAGAAGAUGGAUUUUCAGCUGGCCGUGUGAUGCCAUCCAGUGAGCACAUGUUCCAGGAAACUCAAAAGAAGAUUACGUAUGAGAGAACAAAGACUAUGCUUUGUUCUAUCUCUGUAUAGGCUGGCUUUUCUGGUUAGACUACAUCUCCAGUAAUGCUCGAUGGAUAUGGAUUCCUACAGUGCCUUCCUCCCUUUAUCCAGCAGAGAGAGUGCUGGCCAGACCUCCAGGAAUGGGAGAUGACAUCCUUCCUCCUCAAAUCACAGCCCCAGUCACUGGUGGAGGAAAGUGAGGCACCAGGCAGAUACACGUCAUGUAACUGUCUGUCGGGGCCCUGCCGGCACCAAUAGGCCUUAAUGGCCCUCACCAGCCUCACCUGCGGCCUCCGCCAACACCCCCCUGCCCUUGGGUCCACAAGCCUCGUUUAAGCUCAGACCUGGGCAUUCAACUCUGGCCUGAGCUACAUCAUAGGUGUGCCUGUUCCUAGUCCUGUGCCUGAAUUAUUUUUUGGAUUUCAUGGUUUGACCUUUGACCUGACUUGCUUUUGUCUGGUAAUCACUGGAUCGUCGACAGGACCUGCUGCUGUCUCAACCCUCCACUGCUCAACUGCCUCGGGUGCUGUGGGCCUGCGCCCUGGGGGUGAGCUCACUGCCGGCCAGCGCUGUGGCCAGCCUUGGCUGCUUGCUCACCUUCGCUUAGGGAGAAGCCCUGCUCUUGCUGCUCCCUGACACUGUCCGUCACAGUGAGGUAGUGCUGUCAGUCUUGCACUGAUUUUUAUGGUGUCAGUAAUGAGGUUCUCAAAUAGUGAAAGUCAUUAUUCUGGAUGUUAGGAUUGUCCUCAGAAAUGGGUGUUGUCCAUUCUGAUAUGUAAAGGCAGAUGGAGAGGGAAAGCAUACAACUUUGUUAAAGUAACUCUCAAAUACAUAUGUACAUCUUGCAUUUUUGGGGUGAUGGAGGAGAUGUUAACAGUGGAUUCUCAUUCUGACUUUGUUCUGAGGUGAAUGUUAAUGAUAAAAUUGCAGUUUGUAUUUUAAUGAUGUGUAAAGAUCUCAUUUGAAUGGCUUUAUCUUCCAGUGGGUUUUGGGUUGCUGUGCAAGUUACUUUUCAGUCUUAGUCUAGUUCUGGAAAGAAAUAAUAGCAGGCACAGAAUAACUUAAAAAUAUAGAUCCAUUUUUUUCUCUAUUUGUGUCACUGCUUAGAAGAUACAGAAAAUUAUUGCUGAAGCUGUGUAUUACUCACAUGUGUUUAAAUAACAUUGGUGUAUGUCUCAAAGGAGCACGUACCAGGAUGUCAAUAAUAUGCAAUUAGGCAGCAGUCAGUGUAUUAAAAAAAAAAAAAAAGUGAUCAAAUGACAGAUUUAUAUUUCACAAGAUCAGAUAAGCACAUCUCCUAUUCUGACUGUAAUUUCUGAGAACUUUAGUAGUUUGGAUUUGGGCUGCAAUCCAACAGGGGCAUGACUUAAUUGACUUUAAUGAUCUUUGGCCAUCACAGAUUUAGACUAUACCAAGUGGCUUCUCAAAUUCACACUGAAUUUAAUCAGUUAGAGUUCAGUGUUGGCUAAUCUUCAACUAAAAUCAAUACAUCAACCUGGACAGAGAGAGACUGGGAAAGUCAGAAACAUGUACUGUGAUGUUUGCUUUUUUAGUCUUUUUGAGAGGUCAGAUAAUGGAGACAUCAAUUAAAAGCAGGGUAAACAUCAGGGUUCUUCCAGUGCAAUAGCCUUUUCCUUUCUUAAAUGGGAGUGUGAAUUUGGCUUUAGAGCAAGCUGCCAGACUGCUGGUUAUGUUUAUAUUCAAUAUAUCACAGACAUGGGCAGUGAAAACUUCAGCAUUCAAACCUGUGAAAUAGAAGGCAGGGGGAAUAUUUUGUUUUUCAAACUCAUUCACUUUCCAGUGUCUGUACCAAUUGUCAGCAAGACUUGAACAAUCAGAAUUAAUGUUGGUUGUGAUGUAUGUAUGUAUGUAUGAAGGAAACACUUCAGUUCCCUUUGAAUAAAACUGCACAAUCCUCAAACA
ensembl:lncRNA